UUGCUUCUGAAGCACAUAGAAGAAAUUUAGAACUGCAGAAAACACUAGCAUGGCUACUUCCCAAGGAUAACAUGAAAAUUCAUGAAUCUUUCCUUAUAUUU
rnacentral:snRNA from 14 species